GUGUCUAGCCCGUGUGCCUGGGAAAAAGGAAGCCAUACCAGUAAUCCCAAAGUCAGAUGGUGGAUCUAUUUCUUAUGUUGACAAGGAAGGAAGGGAAUGAAAGGCCCUGAAAACACCGGGUUCUUCCUGCGUUUAACUUCACCCUGGAGAUGGAUAUGGCUCCUUCCGGAUUCAGGCUGACCUUUACCAUACAUCACUGCAAAGAAAUCCCCGCGGGCUUGGUUAUCACGGUGAGCUGCUAGUCAUCUGAAAGGCGAGGUCACUGCCUCUUUGUAAGGUCUGCUCACACUGUGAAAAGGGCCAUUGGAGGCAUGACAAGGAGGCUCGCCCAGGCCGUUCCACUCCGCCGACUUCCAGAUCUGGGCCGAGUCGAUUGCUUUUCAUUUCCCAGUACCUGAGAUCCUGCCAUCACAUCGGCCUCCUUGACACUGGCCCCGGGUUUCCAGACGAGGACAUGGCUCCAGCUCACCCAGUUCACGCGCCAGUAAUUGGGGCCAGCAACAACAUACAGAACCAAAGUCAAGGUGAAAUGUGAACACAAGCAACGAGAAGAGCUGGGUGGAAAGAGACAGGGAAUGGAGACAUCCUAGCAGGUAUCUCCCCCAGUUUCCUUGGUCAAACACCACCAUUCCCUUUUAUCGCUGAGUUAAUCGCCUUUGACUUCUUCACAGUCCCUCUAUUUAUGCAAUCCAGAAUAACGUUUGAUUUCUUUGCUUGCUCCAGAUCCUGGUGCCAAAGGCGUUAAAAUUUUAUCUUCCUCUGC